rnacentral:rRNA from 2 species
UAACCAUUUUGGAGCUAGCCGUCGAAGGUGGGACAAAUGAUUGGGGUGAAGUCGUAACAAGGUAGCCGUAUCGGAAGGUGCGGCUGGAUCACCUCCUUUCUAAGGA